UCAGGGGUUCUGAGCCAGAGAGCCCCCAAAUUUGGGGGCGUGGAGCUUAAGAGGAGUGAUGUUAUUAUUAUAUCAACUGUAAAUCAUGUGUCACAUGAUCUAUUUGACUCACAGCAUCCUCAGCUUGUCUCUUGUAAGACUUGACUUUGAGCUGCAGCUUGUCCACCAGAUCCUGAAGUCUGAUCACAUUCUUCUUGUCCUCCUCAGUCUGUACAGAUAAAUAUUUUUUACCAACGGAUUCAAACCAUGAUAAUUACCAGUUAAAUAAUAAUUUACCUGGUAGAUCAGCUCCUUCACUCUCCUCUCGUAUUUGCGAACACCUUUCACAGCUUCAGAUCCACGUCUCUGCUCGCCUUCAACCUCAGUCUCCAGCUCACGCACCUGUAAUGUGAUGAGAAAUAAUUCAUCAAACAUAUUAGUCCUGAAAAAGGUUGAAUUCGUUCUACUCAUUCCACGAACAAUAUACGUCCUAAACUUCAUAUAUGAUGAACAUUUCAAGUAUAAAAUGCAUACCCUGGACUCCAGUUUCUGGAGCUGCUUCUUGCCACCCUUCAUGGCGAGGUUCUCAGCCUCAUCCAGACGGUGCUGCAGGUCCUUGACUGUGAUCUCCAGGUUCUUCUUCAUCCUCUCCAAGUGAGAACUGGUGUCCUGCUCCUUCUUCAGCUCCUCUGCCAUCAUGGCAGCCUGAAAUUAUACAAUGCAUUUCUUGCUUCCUGAACUGAAUCCUCCACUUCACCCUGAACCUGGACAAGGUCAGUCUCCAGCUUCUUCUUGGUGUUCAUAAGACUGGUGUUCUGAAUGUUAAAAAUAAGGAAGCCAUGUUUAAUAUGAUGUUUUGUUAUUGUAUUUUCAAAAUACUAAUUUCUUGUGAAUUAUUGAAAACAAACCUGAGAGUGAAGCAGUCCCACACGCUCACUAGCAUCAAUCAACUCCUGCUCAGCCACUUUGCGUCCUCUCUCUGUCUGCUCUAGAGCGGCUCUCAGCUCCUCAAUCUCAGCCAGCAUCAGGCCAUUUCUGCGCUCCACCAUGGUAAGCUGCUCCUUCAUGUCUUCCUGUCCUCUGAGAGCAUCAUCAAGGUGCAGUUGGGCAUCCUGAAAACAUAAAAAUGAAGAGUUCACCUUAACUUUAUUUACUUUCAAACCAUUAUUAUUUUCUUCAUUCAGCAAUCCAACCAAACCCACCUUGAGCUGUCCCUGGACAUUCCUCAGUUGUUUCUGGGCCUCAGUCGCCUGCCUGUUGGCAUGGCUCAGCUGAAUCUCCAUCUCAUUCAGGUCUCCCUCCAUCUUCUUCUUGAUUCUCAGGGCAUCGUUCCUGCUCCUGACCUCAGCAUCGAGAGUGCUCUGCAUGGAGUCAAUCACCCUCUGGCUGUUCCUCUUGAUCUGCUCCAUCUCCUCAUCCUUCUCUGCCAGCUUCCUGUCAACCUCACCUUUGAUCUGGUUGAGCUCAAGUUGGACACGGAGAAUCUUGGACUCCUCAUGCUCCAGGGCACCCUUGGUGUAAUUUCAACAGUUAACAAAUCAGCAUUCCAAAAGGUCACCCAGACUUGAAAAUUACAAAAUGAUAAACUUUGUUUCUGUAGGAGCCAGCAUAUUGUUUUUAGUUUUGUAUAUGUGCCAAACCAAAGUAAACUUGAAGAUCCAAUGUCUUUUAUCAUUGUCAAUAUGCAUGUUUGAUUACCCACACUAAAAACAGUUGGAUGGUUUUUGUGAGUCCCUGUCAACUUCUGAUGUUGUUGUACCUCAGCUUCCUCCAGGGCUGUCUGAAUUUCAGUCUUCUCAGUCUCCAGAGUCUUCUUUGCUUUUUCCAGCUCGUGGAUAGUCUUUCCAGUCUCACCAAGCUGUUCAGUCAGGUCUGAGAUCUCCUCUACAGGAAAGAUAAUACAAAUUACAAUUUUAGGAGCUGCUCUACAAUCAGUAGUAUUUUCCCUCAAGUAUAACUGUUCACAUACGUUGCAGGUUCUUGUUCUCUCUCUUCAUGGUCUCCAAAUGAUCCAGAGCCUCCUCAUAAGAGUUCUUCAUCUUGAACAGUUCAGUGCUGAGAGAGCGAGCCUCUUUCAGGGAUCCUUCCAGCUCUGCCUGGCUCUCCUCGUACUUCUGCUUCCAUUCUGACAGGACCUAGAAUUAAAUACAUGAGGAAACAUUGUUGGUUUCAUUUUAAUAAAUCUGGAUUUGUUUUUUUACCUAACAUUUACGUACCUUAUCAAAGUUCCUCUGCUUCUUGUCAAGGUUGGCAGCCAGAGAAUUAGCUCUCUCCACAUCAAUCAUGAGGUCCUCCACCUCACCGUGCAGCCUCUGCUUGGUCUUCUCCAGAGAGGCACACUUGGAGUUCACAGCCUCAAUGGAUUCCUCAGCAUCCUGAAGGCGCUGGGCAAGCUUUUUCCUGUAGUGAGCAAGGAAGGACACAUCUUUGUUGAAUACUGAAACAUUACCUACACUACAAUGUAUUGCAAUGUGUUUAAUGUAUGGAACAGUAGAAAUUGUUUAUUUACUUUGCAUCCUCCAGCUCCUCAGUGCGCUGAAUAGCAUCAGUCUCAUAUUUGGCUCUCCACGUAGCCACCUCACUGUUGGCCUUGGACAUUCCUCGCUGCAGCUCAGCCUUGGCCUCCUGCUCCUCCUCAAACUGCUCUCUGAGCAGAUCACAGUCAUGGCGGGCUGACUGAACAGCAUGGGCCAGGGCGUUCUUGGCCUGUUUUACAUGACAAGAGACCUUGUUUACUGACCUACAUAUAUUAUUGCAAAUAGGAACUCUGGGUAGGGAUACAGGUUUCUUGGUUACUUCCACAAGAUGUUUGUUUUACUAUUAUUCUUAAGUUGCGGCGUAUUUUGUAGAGAAAAUGGGUAUUAUAAUACCUUCACUUCCUCCUCAAUGUGCCGCUUAAACUCCUCAAUCUGCUGAGUGAAGGCCUGCUUGCCCCUGGUCAGCUGGGAAACCAGAGCUUCUUUCUCCUCAACUUGACGGGAAUACUCACCUGAAGGGCAAUGUAUGAACUAGUUUUUGAAAAUGGUUAACUCACCUAGCAAGUGCUUUUCAUUACAGGUGUAUAGGUGACUUACCAUUCUCCGUCUGCAGUCUGGCCCUCUGUGUAUUGAUGUCAUUCAGUUGGCGAACAUUGUCAUCAUUUUUGGAUUUGAGCUCACUCAGCUGGUCCUCAAGACUUCUGCACAUUUUCUCCAAGUUGCCCUAUCAAUAAUAAAUGUGCUAAAUUUGUAUUCAAGCAACACAGACAUUUGCUGCUUGUCAAUAGAUCAUUUUUCUUUUUCAUUUUUGACUUAGAAACAAACCCCACACCUUUGCUUUGGCAACAGACUCCAUGUUGCUUGAGAGGUCAUCAACCUCCAUCUUGUACUCGCUCUUCUCCUUCUCCAGCUUCUGCUUGACACGCUGGAGGUUGUCGAUCUGUUCUCCCAGCUCUGCAACACUGUCAGCCUGCUUCUUGCGGAGAGCUGCUGCGGUAGAUUCAUGCUGCAGGGUUGACUCUUCAAGAUCCCGACGCAUCUUCUGGAACUCAGCCUCGCGCUUCUUGUUCAUCUCAAUCUGAGCUGAUGUUGCUCCACCAGCUUCCUCGAGCCGCUCGCUGAUCUCCUCGAGCUCCCUGGAGAGGUCAGCCCUCUGCUUCUCUACUUUAGCCCGAGCCGACCUGUCAGCCUCAAUCUCUUCCUCCAGCUCCUCAAUACGAGCCUGGAUUUGAUGAUAGUAAUAUCAAUGCAACUUAUUAACCUUAACAUGUUUGUUUUGAUUCACUGAGUGUACUAUUCAUGUCAAAUACAUUACCUGGAGUUCCUUGAUCUUCUUAUGAAGCUGAGCACCAAGAGUCUGUUCAUCCUCAAUCUUGCUGAGGAGCUGGCUGGUCUCAAAGUCCUUCCUGGAAGAGGAGACCAAAAAUAUUUCUUUGUUAUAGUUUUCCUGUUGUUUGAGAGUAAUGUGUGGUAUGCUAAUACGAGGAUUAAUAAACUUACAAACAAACAAAAACUUACUUUUUGAUUUUCUCGUCAGAUUGCAGCUUCUCAUUCUCCAGAUCCAUUAUGGAUUCCUGGGCCAGUUUCAGAUCUCCCUCAAGCUUCCUCUUGGCUCUCUCAAGGUCCAUGCGAAGCUUCUUCUCUUGCUCCAGUGAUCCCUCAAGCUUUUGAAAUAAAAUGUUUUGUGUUUGUACAAUGGAACAUCAAUGCUAAAACCCAAACUGUUUCUAGUUUCAUAACUUUGAAAGCAAUGUUUCCUCACAUCGUCCACUUGCUGUUCCAGCUUUGUCUUGGCCUUGGUCAGAGUGUUGACUUUGUCUUCCUCUGCCUGGAGAUCAUCAAGUAAUUGCUGGUGAGCCUCUUGGAGGGCUUUCUUCUCCUUCGUUAACUUGGCAAUGGUCUCAUCUUGAGAUGCCAACUCCUCCGUCAGGUUUUUCACCUUAAAAAAGGAAUGAAGGAUACGCUUUAGUAUAACUUAACAUCUAUGCAUAUGUGAUUCUGUAGAAAUAUUUUAUCAGUUUGUAUCAGUGUAUAUUUCAAGUUAUGUGAACCUUGUUUUCUGUGGCAUGUUUCUCCUUCUCCACUUUAGCCAAGGUGAGCUCCAAGUCAUCAAUGUCUUUCUUCAGCUCAGAGCAUUCAUCCUCCAGCUUCCUCUUCUUGGCAGUCAGCUCAGCAUUCAUUUCCUCUUCAUCCUCCAGUCUCUCAGCUGCCUCUUUGGCUUUGGCCUCGAGCUGGAUUUUGCUCUUAAUGAGCUGCUCACACCUUUCCUCAGCAUCAGAGAGAGUAUCACUUUCCUAUAUUUUGAAUAUGCAUGUGGUAACACAUUAGAUUAUCCAUGAAAAUACGAGUUUAUUAUUUACUUUUUGUUUAAUGUGUAAUACCAAUUAUAUAUAGAUUGACUAUUCAGAAAGGCUAGAUAUUUGGUAAAGCAGGUACAUAAUGCAAACCCUGCAUUUUGUCUGCAAGUAUCUCCUGAGAUCUAAUUGAUGAAUUCAGUCCAAAUGACUUCACUUACCGAAGCCAUUUGCAAUUGCAGGUCAUUAUUUUCCUGCAGCAGAGAAACCAUCUUCUCCUCCAGUUCCUUCUUCUUGGCCAGUGCAGUAGCCAGGUCUGAUUUCAUCUUAUCAUAGUUCUCCUUCAUCUGUUGCAGCUCCUUCUCAGUUUCAGCACUCUUCAGAAGAGGUUUGAUCUUGAAGUAGAGUUUCAGCCAUGGCCAGUUCUUCACAUUCAUGAAUGAACGGACAUUGUACUGGAUGGAAUAGAUUGCCUCUCUAAAAACAAAAUAUAUAUAUAUAUAUAUAUAUUAACAGAACUUUUAUUGUAAUAUGAUUAUGUAGAAAUAUCAAUAUGAUAUCACUUAGUAUAGUGCAUGCAUGAUAAUUGUACCUCCUCUCCGUCAUCUUAACAAACUCCUUUCUCAUAACAUAUCCUCUGCAGAGAGCCUGAGUCAUGGUCACCAGCAGAGCCAGUUUGUCAUCUCUCAUCUCCUCCAGGGUACCCAGCAGACCAGCUUUGAAGAACACCUAUGUUGUCAAGUGAAGGAAAUUAGUCAGAACAGGACAACUGCAUUAGUGAAAGUCUGUUAACAUUGUCCAAAAGAAUGUACCUUUGUGUGCCCAAACUUGUACUGAGUGUGGUCCACAUCAAUGGAGCCCAGCAGCUUCUCUGAAGCUUUUUUGUUGUCAAUGAACUGUCCGUCUGGGAUGACACCAGCAUUCAAUACUUUGUAUCUGCAAGGAAAAUAUGCUGUGACUUUGAUGUAUUUCAACUCUUGGGCAGGCAUAACAUCAAUUAAAUUUGUCGUGCAUAAACUGAAAAUGAUUGUCACCUCUGCUUAAAGUCUCCAUAGAGGACUCUGCUGGGGAAGCCCUUUCUGCAGAUUCUGAUGCCUUCCAGCACACCAUUACACCUCAGCUGGUGGAUGACCAAGUGGUUCUCCAUAAGACCUGGUAAUUGCAAACACAUAUUGGGUAGAAUUUCUCUUUUUUUAUACUAUGUUUCACAAAGUGCAGAAAGGAGGAUUAUGAAUGUCUUACCUUGGGUCUUUGAUUCAUUAG